UAAAGAACGGCAGUUUGAAUCGGUGCU
rnacentral:piRNA from 1 species